UGGGGAAUCUUGCGCAAUGGGCGAAAGCCUGACGCAGCCAUGCCGCGUGAAUGAUGAAGGUCUUAGGAUUGUAAAAUUCUUUCACCGGGGACGAUAAUGACGGUACCGGAGGAGAAACCCCCGCCUAACUCGUUCCAGCCACCGGGGUAAUAAGGAGGGGGCUAGCGUUGGCCGGGAUUUCUGGGCGUAAAGGGCGCGUAGGCGGAUCGUUAAGUCAGAGGUGAAAUCCCAGGGCUUAACCCUGGAACUGCCUUUGAUACUGGCGAUCUUGAGUAUGAGAGAGGUAUGUGGAACUCCGAGUGUAGAGGUGAAAUUCGUAGAUAUUCGGAAGAACACCAGUGGCGAAGGCGACAUACUGGCUCAUUACUGACGCUGAGGCGCGAAAGCGUGGGGAGCAAACAG
rnacentral:rRNA from 1 species